rnacentral:lncRNA from 1 species
GAAAGUCCCUCCAACAUAACAUACAUCCCGUGAGCUCCAUAUUGCUCCCAAAUUAUCCAGAGAGAUGAACAAAAAAAGAACACACUUCGCAAACAAUCUCCACAGAGGAAGAAGACAUCGAGAUUUUCCGAGAGGCACGUUCAUGCCGCUUCCAUAUAGACGUGUGUACGGACGACAGAGCCGACUGGAGAGUGAGAGAAAGUGGUCCAAUGAUAGGCCUACUUUACAUGCUCAACAGAUCCGGCCUUAUAAUCAGCAAGAAUUGCCAACAAACAGAGGUGAGGUGUAAUGGACUUUUAUGAAAUCACUAUGAGAAAAUAUUCUUCAGUAUGACUACUUUAUAUCUCAUUCAGUGCAUUUGAUUUUAAUUAGGUCAUGGCUCGAAUGUCAAGACACUUUUGAAUAUAAUUAUAAAG